CUUCGGCGCGUUCGGAUCCAACGUCUGAUAGAACACAGCGAGCAUCGCGCCGAAAAAGCCGGACAGGACGGCAUAGAAAAUCACGUAGAACAGCAAAAUUUUAGCUGAAAAUGCAAUGGCCAAUGGUAAAGUUGAUGCGGGAGUUGACAAUCUGAACGGUUGCUCGUCGUUAUCGUACGUCAUUACGAACACGAAGUAACUACGGCAACGUAACAUUUCCAUGGCUUUUUCCGAGAUAUCGAUCGACACGACUACGAAUGCGACGACGCGAGGUAACUACGUUUACAGCAGGUCGUUAGUACUUUGCUUUAAUAAUAUCUUGAUAGUAAAAUGAAUGUGAUGAAUGGCAUUCUUCAAUUAUUAAUCGAGCUAAUAAGUUCGGCCAACUUGCAACGUAUGUACAAUCUAUUGCUAAUUUCGUUAUUAAAUAUAUAAAUAUAGAAAGGCUUGUUUCUCGUGCCUUUCGAAGGAUCUGCAGGAUCGAACUCGAAUGUAGGACAUUCGGCCACAAAAAUCGACUGCGUUAGCAGCGCGCAGACGCUAACACUAUCCAGUAUAGAAAUCAGACCAUACCAUUUCUGUGAGAUGGUAAUGGAGACGGCUCGUAUUGAUUUUCGCGGAAGUCGAUCGACUUCAACGGAAGAGCGAAGGCAAAUAGACAAACAGCUAGCAACAGGAAGACAAAGAAGAGAGAAAAAGAUAGAACGCGACUGUAAGUUAUCUAUCUAUAGCUAUGUGGAAAAAUUUUAUAAAGAAUUAUCCAAGUAUUUGAUCAAAGGCUGCAAGAAGCGCGACAAGAAGGAUCGAACAAAGCUUAUAAUAAAUUGAAAAGUUUAAAAAGAAAAUUUAUUUCGAGUUUACAAUGUAUAUUUCACUUGACCGCACGGUAAAGUAGCGUUGAUUGAUUUGAAGAGUUACCUUAGCAAGGAUCCUUGACUUCUCUUGCUUAUGUAUUCCAUUCUUACCCGACAAAACGUAAAAAUAAAACAACGAAAGUGCAAUGAGGUCGAAUCCCUUCAACACAUGUGCAAAGAAAACCGCAUCUUUUGAUUUCGUCAGUUUCUUCCAGGAAAUUUGAGACUUUGAAAUAGCAAAUAAUAACAACGGCAAACUGCAUAUUACUCUUGUACAUAAUAGAAAGAAUUUUCAUAAAAAUAUAACAUUAAAUAAGUCUUAUAUAACGUUAUUCACAUAUGAAUUUAUUCAACAUUUCAAUAAUAAAUUACUUUUAAAAAAAUUUGAUAUAAUUAGAAAUUCGUUAAAAAGUUAAAGUAAGUUUUUUAUUCUAAAUAAGAUAUUUAUCGAUUAAAAACAAGCACCGAGUUUAUUUUUAACUGAGAAUUGUGCGACGUGUUCAAUGAAAAGCUAAAAGUAUCGUACAUGAAACUUGUCGCUAACACGAUGAAAAGGCCAUGGUAAAUGUUAAUUUAUCAAAACAGGAUACUCGUAACGUUAAACACAGAUAUCAGCUCAAAGAUAUCAGCGGUAAAUCAGGCUUUUUCUGCCAGCGGAAACCUCACGUUUAUCGCAAAGUGCAAUGUAAUUUCACACAUUUGUACGCUGCCCUAUAACAUACGUGGACAGAGACAUUUCAAUCCUAUGUCGGGAAAAUCCUCGGCCAGACUAAUACGCCGACGCUGACAUAAAUCAUUAAAACAUCGACAUAUAUUAUUUGAAAAAGAAAAAGAAGCACCAGAACAGCAAUAACGUGAAUAUACAACGCGAAAUCUUGCGCCGCGUACGAAGCUUCCGAUGAAGGAAACUAUGUCUUACGUAACUAGUUCGCCGUUGGUACAAUUUUGCCACUGUACACGCGCGUGUUCCCCGUUAUAAUAUGGUUGUAUAUCACUCUUAAAGUUGUAAAUUAAUUUAUUUUUAAAUACAUUAUAUUAAAAGGCACGAAAUGUAAACAACUUUGUAUAAUCUCUUGCAUAUCAAUUCGUGCACAUGAAUCUGUAGCACAGAAGAACGAUAAAAAUGGUUAUCACAGAAUAAAAUAUCGUCAGUGAACAAGUGUCGUCAUUCUCAAAGAGCGACAAGCAAUUUGAGUGAAAUAAAAAGCUCAUGUCAAUUUUGUGCGAUUGAAAUUAAACAUGCUACUGAUUACGAGAUCCCUUCGUAAAUUGUUACUUGUAAGUAUCUUCUAGACUACUAGACUAUCUGGUAAACGAACAUACUUUAAUGUUACAAGUUCGACUUGCAUGGAAAAUUCGACAUAUGCUGACGAGUAUAAAUAAAUAAUUGAAAACAAAUAAAAAACUUUUAUUUUAAACUUUCACAAAUAAAAGAUUGACAGAAGUUUGUGCAGAAAACGCAUCACUUAAAUAUUAUCUUUCACAUAUUGUUACGUAAUGAGACUUCGUCAUGUAACCUUCGACAUGCAUACCUCUUGCAUACCUCAUAUCUCUUUAAAAAAAAGUAUCGUUUUAUUAGCCUGAUAAGUUAAAUGUACAAAAGUAAAAGAAGACACAUUUUACCAUCCAAUUGGAAAAGCAGCUUUACAACAAUAAUAAAAGUAGAGUUCGUUAAUUGUUACGUAUAUGCACGCAUACGAAUUAUUGGAGUAAUUUAAUAUCCUUUUCGUAAUAGAAGACACAUUUGAACAUUCAAUUCAGAAAGCUUUGCAACAAUAAUAAUAGUAGCACGAGUUCGUUAAUUGUUAUAAACGUAUGAGAAUUAUUGGAGUAAUUUAAUAUUGUUUUUGUAUUGUAUGAAUUUAUUUUAAACUAUAUCCAUGGAUAUGGAUUAAAAAGGUCAUUAGUUAGAUUAAUAUGUUUAAACAGAAAGAUGUACUAUUUUAAGGUGAAACCGUACGUCAUGAUACAGUAACAACGUUACUGCAAAUGCAAAUAAUCAUGCGAUAUAAUGCGAUUUCUAGAUAAUGUACCAUGUAUCGCUUCUUUUACAAAGUUAAUAAAGUUUCUCAUUCUUUCACGAA